CGUGUGGUGCCGGUGCAGGAAUAAUCCUGGCACGGGAGAGCGACACGGCCUUAACUGAGGU
rfam:Erwinia billingiae strain Eb661 complete chromosome.